rnacentral:rRNA from 1 species
CAAGAGCGUAUGUAAAAGUUGUUGCAGUUAAAAAGCUCGUAGUUGAACCUUGGGUUUGGUUGGCCGGUCCGCUUUUUUGCGAGUACUGGAUUCAACCGAGCCUUUCCUUCUGGCUAACCAGUCGUUUCGGCGGCUGGCGAACCAGGAUUUUUACUUUGAGAAAAUUAGAGUGUUCAAAGCAGGCAUUAGCUUGAAUAUAUUAGCAUGGAAUAAUAGAAUAGGACGUUAUAGUUCUAUUUUGUUGGUUUCUAGGACCAUCGUAAUGAUUAAUAGGGACGGUCGGGGGCAUCAGUAUUCAGUUGUCAGAGGUGAAAUUCUUGGAUUUACUGAAGACUAACUACUGCGAAAGCAUUUGCCAAGGACGUUUUCAUUAA